UCGGGAAUUUUGGGCAAUGGGCGAAAGCCUGACCCAGCAACGCCGCGUGAGGGAUGAAGUAUUUCGGUAUGUAAACCUCGAAAGAAUGGGAAGAAUAAAUGACGGUACCAUUUAUAAGCUCCGGCUAACUACGUGCCAGCAGCCGCGGUAAUACGUAGGGAGCAAGCGUUGUUCGGAUUUACUGGGCGUAAAGGGCGCGUAGGCGGCGCGGUAAGUCACUUGUGAAAUCUCUGAGCUUAACUCAGAACGGCCAAGUGAUACUGCUGUGCUAGAGUGCGGAAGAGGGAACCGGAAUUCUUGGUGUACCGGUGAAAUGCGUAGAUAUCAAGAGGAACACCUGAGGCGAAGGCGGGUUGCUGGGCCGACACUGACGCUGAUGCGCGAAAGCCAGGGGAGCAAACG
rnacentral:rRNA from 1 species